UCCUCAUCCUGUUUAUUUUGUGGACAUGUUGAAACUUGCAUCAGUUAAUGCAGAAUUUUGUGGAGUAUAAGCUUCUGAACUGAGAAGUCUAUCUAAUUUAAAAGUAUGGAACUCAGAGCUGGGAGAAACCUUAGAAAGUAUCUGACGUUUUAUUUUACAGGUGAGAAAACCGAGGUCCUGAGAGCAUAAUUAACUUGAUGAAAGUCUAAUGAUGCCAAUACUAAAGGCAACAAAACAAAACAAAGCACCAAAAACCAGCAUUCUGAUUAGCAGUCUGGGGCUUUGCAGUACACCUUCCUAUAACUGAUGUAAUUUACUACUCCCUCUGCUGUGUCUGAACCUCUGUAAGGGAUUUCCAUGUUAGGUGUCUUGUUUUUAUGGGAUACAUACUAAGAGAGAAUAGCAGUAGUUGAAC
rnacentral:lncRNA from 1 species